rnacentral:misc_RNA from 1 species
CUUGUUUCGGCUGCACGGGAAAGAUCACACAAGGGGGAGUUUGAACUGAGUUGCGCUUCGGUCAUUGAUAAAAUAUUGAUGAAGGCCAGAGAACAAACGACGACGACAAUAAAGUUGGGAAUCUGCAAAAUUAUUGGACAGUGUUUCUGGCGUGCCCUAGGGACGCAACUCUGCACAGCGAAUGGUGGCGCCUUAGUCGACUGGGCCGACCGUGCCCCCUGUGUAUAUUCAAUAUUCUGCCAAUAAAGCCAAGUUAAGCAAAUGAG